AUGAUAUGCAGGUUUUUUUGGGCACAACAAGAUAAUGAUGAGAAGAUACAUUGGUUGUCUGCUGAGAAGUUGACUCUUUCCAAAAGAGAAGGUGGUUUGGGAUACAAGUAUCUCCAUGUGUUCAAUCUGGCCAUGCUCGCAAAACAAGCGUGGAGAUUGUUAGAACACCCUGAUUCACUUUGUGCUCGAGUUCUCAAAGCGAAGUAUUUCCCUGAAACUGGCAUACUGCAUGCUACACCCAAAAAGGGAAUGCCGUAUGCAUGGCGCAGUAUCUUACAGGGA
rnacentral:rRNA from 1 species